rnacentral:rRNA from 1 species
UACGGAGGGGGCUAGCGUUGUUCGGAAUUACUGGGCGUAAAGCGCACGUAGGCGGCUUUGCAAGUCAGAGGUGAAAGCCCGGGGCUCAACCCCGGAAUUGCCUUUGAGACUGCAUCGCUAGAAUUGUGGAGAGGUAAGUGGAAUUCCGAGUGUAGAGGUGAAAUUCGUAGAUAUUCGGAAGAACACCAGUGGCGAAGGCGGCUUACUGGACACAUAUUGACGCUGAGGUGCGAAAGCGUGGGGAGCAAACAGG